GGGGCAGGGGCUUGUCAUCCUCUCCCUUCAGGUGCCGCACGUAUGGGAGGACCAACCUGAGGAGGAACCGGGCACGUUGACCAGGAGGCCAGGCUGGCAGCAGGCUCCCACCGCUCCAGGCCCACCCGGCCUCCUCCAGCCCCGGACCGCAAACACCCCUGCCCGGCAAGCACACAGACAACCCACGGGGGGCCCGCGCUCUCCCUCAUCUCGUCCAGGAGGCCUGCAGUCUGCCCUCCCCGCUCAGGGCCCUGCUGGUCCAACCCUGGGGGUGAAGGCCCAGGUCCUGUGAGCCAGGGGCCUGCCCGUACCUCUCGUAGUGACGGCGCGUGCACGUGGCUGCGCUGGUGCUGCCCGGGCUGCCCCCCAGCUCGUCAUACACGUUCUUCCAGAGGCGGCGGCCAGUCACCUGCAAGGAUGCCACGUGAAGGCAUGGCCGGCGGGCACCCCCUGGCCGCGGGGUCCUCACAGCUCGGGGUCCCCACUUGGAUGCAGUUUUGCAGCUGCUUCUCCAGCAGUGGGGCGACGAGGUUGGAGGGGGCUCCCCUGGCCGCCAGCCAGGUCUCCCGCCCAGGGGCCGCCCGAGUGCUGGCCCAAGCAGCUUUCCAAGCACGAGGACAGAACAGAUGGGAAAGAGAGGAAAUCUUGCUUUGAGCAGCAAAGUAGCAGCAGGCAAGGCGGGUCCCUCCUUCUCCCCGUAGCACACAGGGGAACUGGGGAAAGGGCAGGGUGUGGGACGCUGCCUCGUCCUCCUGUCUAGGGGUAAGGGCAGCUCUUUUGGGCUCACUCUCUUCCCCCAGCUUGACGUGCCAGGAGAUACAGCAGGGUAAGGCCUCAGAGGUGCUGUCCUUACCAGCUCGUAGGCCCCCAGCUUCUCCACGGCCUUGUAGAUCUUCCACAGGUUAACUGGAGAAAAGAGAGGGCAGGGCCACUCUCAGUCUUGGCAGGAGGAAGGGGUAGCCAGCAGCCUGUCCCCCUGGCCCUGUCAGGCAGGCACAGAACCAGCACGUACCCAGACAGGGCCACUAGGAUGGCUAGGCAGGCCACGCCCCGUGCACUGGGGGCCCAGUGGCCCAGUGAGGAUGGAAAUCCAGCCCCACCCACUGCCAGCCCUGUGCCUGGAGGGAGGCACCCUUUCCGUGUGCAAACCCCGUGGGCUGGCGGUGUCCAGGGUUACCCAGAACGGAGGUGCUCCCCGAUGCCCUGCCUGGGUGGGGGUCCCCUGCCGGGCGCCCCCCCUCCCUGCCUGCACCCCAGGGACGCACUCUGCUUGAAGCCGAGAUGGGGCACCCUCUGGAUGGGCGUGUGUCGCUCCUUCAUGAACUUGUAGAGGCUGACCAGGAAGGCCUGCUCCUCCUCCCGCUCCCCGCCUGCCUCGGGGGAGUCCUGGGGAAAGAACACGAGGCAGCAGCAUGAGCCCUCAGUUGCUGGGAGGCUGGGGACAGGCGGAACCUCAGGCUGCUGGGGAGGAAAGAGAUGCGUGGCCCCCAGGCCCCCACAGGAGGGAGCAGACCCCCAGACCCAGCUCUGGGCUGCACUGCUUGUUCCUGGGGUCAAAAAGGCACAGGUGUCAGCUGUUAGUGCCCAGAACCCCAGGUCAGGGUCCACAGAGGCCCUGGGAGCUGCCCUGCACCUUCUCCAAGUUUCUGACCACUUCUUCCACUUGUCGCAUCUGCAUCUCAGCUCCUCUACCACACUGUGAGUUCCUGGCGGUAGGCGCAGCGUCCCCAGGGCUCCCAGCAGCCCCUGUGGUCCAGGUUGAAGGAACAAAAGUGCCUGGUGCUCUCUGGCUCUGUGGCGCCAUGCCACCAGGCCUCUGUGACCCGCCCGUCCACGUGCUUAACUCAGGGAGGGGAGACCCUGUCCUGGGCUCCAACUGGCACUUCUGUCAGAUGCACAGGUCUUUUGGUUUCUGCUCUCAGGGGGAAUUUCUGCCGAUGCUGUUCACGUGGCUGGUAGCUCAGGGCAGGGGGCUACUGUUAGGCUGGGGCUGAGGUCCUGGCAGGACAGGCCCCAAACACGAGAAGGACGAAAAACACCAGGGCCUAGAACCGUGCAGAGAGCCACGUGCUCCAAAAAUACUCUAUUCAAGUACCAUGUCCGUGAUUUUGACUAAUCAAAGACCUCUGGUAAUAAACAAGCCACCUCAUAUGUUAAUGCACGAAAUUGGCACACACUGGAGCCCAAGGCAGCUGUUUUCUGGAGCCUCAGAAUGAAGGCGCUCUGACCACAGCUCUUCAAAUGAAUGUGCUCUUCUAUUCCUCUUCUCUGAACUCCAGGCAAUCUGUUAAAACCUGUUCCCACUUGCAGCUACUCUUCUACAUGAAUCAGGAUUUCUACUCCAGCCUGUGCCACCAAAGCAAAUGGCUGAAAAGCACGACGCUGAGGAGUUGAGGCUGACCACUCCGACCACGCUGGUCAACACAGCUGCGUUGAUCUCACGAGCCCUCUGCCCACAACUUCGAAGGAAACCCUAAAUCACCUUGGGGUCAAGUGACAGGAGACCGGCACUGGGGCCGUGGUCCUCGGGGAAAUCAUGUCUCCAAAACCUGCCCCACAUUCAGGCAGAAAGUUUGGGAAAGCUGCAGAGGCUUCCAUGAUUGUGGACCCCCAAAGCACCACGGGGGGCUGCUUGGACCAUAAACCCUCCAGAAAUAAUCAAGAAGAGGAACUGUCCUGGUUCGCUCCAACUCAAGAAAUUUUUACUGCUGGGAACGUGCAAGAUUCCCCCUCCAACCCAGACAGAAAAAGAAUCUCCUUAAGAACAAGAAACCCGCGCCAGAGUGACCCACAAGGUCAGCAGUACCCAGAAGCACGAGCUGCAGAACCUCCGGCCGCUGGACAGUGUCCCCUUGGGUAGCUGUUCACAGGGGCGCUGUGCAGGGUCUUGGCUCUGUGUCCCUGGCCCUUUCAUGUAUGUUCUCUCAUUGAGUCCCAGAGGAAUCCCAUUUUAAGGGAGGCUGGGGGGACUGAAGCCAGAGAGGUUAAGUUGCUUGCCGCCCUGAGGGACCAGAUUCAAAACAAGGUCUGUCUGACCACCAGUCCAGGGGCCUGGCCUCGCCACCACUGCGGCUGCUGUAUCACCAACAUUGCGAAGCCCUGGUGGAGAGUCCAAAUAAACCGGGAAGAGAAACCGAGCCUAACACUUGUCAAGCAUGAGUUGGGCCUGGGCCAUCCUUGCAGGCUGGCUCCUGACCACUGGAGACACGGUCAAUCUCCAGAAAUAAGUGGGUUCUAAUGACUGCUCCCCAAAAGACUGAUGCCUUUCCAACCAGGUCCUUGGGCGAAUCUGUG